AUUUGUAAAAUUCUUUCAUUUUCAAAUAAACAUUUUAAAAAAAGAAGUAGUCAGAGUAUUGGCUUCAACAACAUGGCUGGGCAGCUUGUUCCACACCCCCACCACCCUUUGUGUAAAGAAGCGACUCCUGUCCUGAUUAGAGGACAGGUAACGAGUAUUAUCUGCGUGGUUAGUCAUUGGAAUGAUGCCAAAUACCUGUACAUUCCUCCUGCAGCUCUCUCUCUUUUCUGGGCUGAUGCACGUUCCUGCACCUGUUCAGAAGGAGCAGAAACAUAUCUGAUCAGACUGUAUUCUGACUAUGAUGGUACUCCUAUAAGAGACGGGAGGAGGUAAUUACUGUGCAGGACUUUCACUGUACUGAUCUCUGAUGUGGGUUUCAUACAGACAUUCAAGUAUCAAGUGUCACUGGAGACAAAUCACUGAUACCACUGCUAUGUUUUGUAAUGAUAUAUCAAUAUAUAUAGUCAAUGUGCUUACCAAACACUUGUCCAGGGUAACAUGCAAUCUAUAACUGAGGUCUACAGCAGGUAAGUGCAGAUAAUAACCACGCAAGUUCGUCUUUAACCCCGUACAGGAGAGAGCUCACCACAGUCCGAGAGACAUGUCUUUAACCCAUACAGAAGAAAGCUCACUGCAGUGCUCUGACAGUAGGGGACACUACCUCCCAGGCUCGUGAACUGUCCUGUCCGGUGGAAGAGGCCGAAGACGCAGCCGGACGUUAUCAGGACAGAGAGAGGAGGCACCAGCAGCAGAAUGAUGAAGCACGACUUCUCCAGCUCAAAGGGAGACCGCGCCUGCCGAUGGUCAUCCUCACACUGUCCACCUGCACAGACGAGCCUGGUGCCGGUUCCGACAGCAACCCGGCCCUGCGCUUUCCCCGCGCAGUAGAAGAGCCCCAGGUCUGUUCGCGACACGUUCCGGAUCCUCAGGUCGAUGGAGCCGGUGGACGAGUUCAGCGCCGGAGAGAAGCAGGAGUCGGACGCGUAGUUGAAGUUGACCGUCUCCGCCUGGCUCUUACUGGCCAGGAGCCCCAGAAACAGUGUCUCGUCACGCUGGACGAACCACAUCACCUCGUAGCCGAGCUGCAGGUCGCAGGGCAGGACCACCGUGUCCCCGACUCCGACGGGUCUCACCGCGGCGCCGGUACCGGCUGCCUCCCGCACAGCGGUACCUGGAGAGACGCGGAGAGAAAUCUAUCCUCUGCAGAGAAAGCGCCUCUUGUGUAGGAUUGCACAAGCUAUCACGUUACGUGUACAGAACUUCAGCAAAACAACUCUGAAUGAAGUGAUUUACCUUGACCGUUUAGUAGCCCUCAUCGCUUGUGGAUACGAGUUCAAUAAACAAGUGAGUCAAUUAAUCAAUAAUUCUUUCAGUUGAGUCACUGCCAAUCAUUUUCACCGCGAACUACCUGCAGAUCGAUAUCGGCCAAGAUCUUCUAUCAACUAAUGUGGCCUCUUCGCUAAAGUGCAACAGAGGGAUCAUUACAAAUCAAGAGCACCGUUUUAAAAAGUGGUCGUUCCACCCGUUAAUGCUCUUUGAUUAUAAGAAUCUGAAAAAAUGGCAGAGGACAGCGAGUAUACAAGACGAUCACUGUGCUCUUCUUA
rnacentral:lncRNA from 1 species